CCUACGGGUCGCAGCAGUGGGGAAUAUUGCACAAUGGGCGCAAGCCUGAUGCAGCCAUGCCGCGUGUGUGAAGAAGGCCUUCGGGUUGUAAAGCACUUUCAGCGAGGAGGAAGGUGGUGAACUUAAUACGUUCAUCAAUUGACGUACUCGCAGAAGAAGCACCGGCUAACUCCGUGCCAGCAGCCGCGGUAAUACGGAGGGUGCAAGCGUUAAUCGGAAUUACUGGGCGUAAAGCGCACGCAGGCGGUUUGUUAAGUCAGAUGUGAAAUCCCCGGGCUCAACCUGGGAACUGCAUUUGAAACUGGCAAGCUAGAGUCUCGUAGAGGGGGGUAGAAUUCCAGGUGUAGCGGUGAAAUGCGUAGAGAUCUGGAGGAAUACCGGUGGCGAAGGCGGCCCCCUGGACGAAGACUGACGCUCAGGUGCGAAAGCGUGGGGAGCAAACAGGAUUAGAUACCCGGUAGUC
rnacentral:rRNA from 1 species